rnacentral:misc_RNA from 1 species
AAGCAUUAUCCAAUCAAAUCAAAAGCAACAAAAGUAAAAGGUAGUAGUAUAACCAAAAAUUGUCAGAAUGCAGCCAAAAGCUGAAGAUCCAUAUUGCCAUAUAUCAAGAUUGAACCGAAUCAGAACUAACCCAUUUCCAGAAAUGCUUCUUCACAAACACAGCCUUAUCCGCAGCCCUCUUUUCUUCAGAAUCAGUAUACUCCUCCACCUCUUCCGUACAAAACUCUCCCUCAGGCAACCCAUCCACCGUCACAUCCACAGAAUGUAAGACAUAACGAGCCGGCAGGCCAGGGUAUGACAUCGAAUUCCGUUCCUCAACCUUCUCCUUGUAGGAACCAGGCACAAUCCUCACAAGUCCACCGUCAUUUAUGAUCGAUCCAAGCUCUUCUUUUAUAGCACGAUAGACAGCAGCUUCAGGUGUCUCGUUGGGCUUCAUUUUCUCCGAUAAGGGUCUGCACCGAUUCCUUACACCACCAUCCGAUAAUUCUUGAUGAGAUUCAACAAGAAUUUGAUUGUUUUUACCGAUGAUUCGGACCGUAACAACGCUGACAGUACGGAUUGGAGGGGUGGAGUCAGCGAGGAAGGUUUCACCUUCAGAGAGCUCGAGCCAUAGGUUGUGAACGUUUUUGGUG